rnacentral:rRNA from 1 species
AUUGAACGCUGGCGGCAUGCCUUACACAUGCAAGUCGAACGGUAACGGGCCUUCGGGUGCCGACGAGUGGCGAACGGGUGAGUAAUACAUCGGAACGUGCCCGAUCGUGGGGGAUAACGAGGCGAAAGCUUUGCUAAUACCGCAUACGAUCUACGGAUGAAAGCAGGGGACCGCAAGGCCUUGCGCGGACGGAGCGGCCGAUGGCAGAUUAGGUAGUUGGUGGGAUAAAAGCUUACCAAGCCGACGAUCUGUAGCUGGUCUGAGAGGAUGAUCAGCCACACUGGGACUGAGACACGGCCCAGACUCCUACGGGAGGCAGCCGUGGGGAAUUUGGGACAAUGGGCGCAAGCCUGAUCCAGCCAUGCCGCGUGCAGGAUGAAGGCCUUCGGGUUGUAAACUGCUUUUGUACGGAACGAAAAGCCUUCUUUUAAUACAGGAGGGUCAUGACGGUACCGUAAGAAUAAGCACCGGCGAACUACGU